rnacentral:rRNA from 1 species
CAGAACGAACGCUGGUGGCGUGUCUUAUACAUGCAAGUCGAGCGAGGCAGCAAUGCCGAGCGGCGAACGGGUGAGUAACGCGUAAGCAAUCUGCCCCAUAUCAGGAAAUACCCGUGCCAACGCGCGGUUAAUGUCCAGGAGAGUGGCCCUCCGCAUGGAGGGUUGACUAGAGAUUCAUCGGUAUGGGAUGAGCUUGCGUCCGAUUAGCUAGUUGGCGGGGCAACGGCCCACCAAGGCGACGAUCGGUAGCCGGCCUGAGAGGGUGAUCGGCCACAUUGGGACUGAGAUACGGCCCAGACUCCUACGGGAGGCAGCAGUAGGGAAUAUUGCACAAUGGGGGAAACCCUGAUGCAGCAACGCCACGUGUGGGAAGAAGCAUUUCGGUGUGUAAACCACUGUCAUGAGGGAAUAAGGCCCGCCUUCGGACGGGAUUGAAUGUACCUUGAGAGGAAGCACCGGCAAACUUCGUGCCAGCCGCCGC